UAAAACCCUCAGCAACACCAGCAACCAUUGCCAUCCCUGCAGUGAGUGAGACUGCAUCCAGAGAAGCCGCUGCUUUGGGACCAACAACCCUGUUGGAAUAUUUUUCACCAGUAAAGCCAUGGGAAAGGGACUGGCAUCCAGUGCAAGAAAAACUGCUUGAUUACGUGCUGGACGUCAGUCGGCCUGGAGCUGAAAUUAUUGUCAAGGAGGGGAGUUUUGGAGCUUGGGUUUGCUGAGGGAUAUGGAUUCCCACGGCAAAGAUAUAUACAUUGAGAACUUUUAUGUUAUUCCUACUUGGAAAGGAACCCAAAACAUUGUUACAGCAUUACCAGAGGAUGCGGAUAUGAAAGACUUGCUAGUCUUCCCAGCAUGGACAAAAGCUAAUGGCCCUGACCACUACAUUGUCUGUACAAAUUGCCAACCAAAUUGAUCCGGGGAUCUGGACAGAAAUGACUGGAAAGGAUUUUUCGGCUUUGCCACGUCAGAGAAGAGGGAAUGACUGUGGUGUUUUUGUGCUGAUGGUAGAGUCUUUAAUUUGUUUAUAAGUAAGGUCUAGUGAACAGUGUUAACAACAGCUUGUCUCCUUUAUUUCAGUACACCCUCUCAAUGGUCUGUGACAUCGAGUUCGUUUUCCAGGAGGUUGACAUGCCCAUGAUUAGAAAAUGGUGAUGCCUUGUGCUAAUGGAACGAUUUCAAAUUGACGGGAUGUUCUCAACCCAUCAAAGUGGUUCCCCCUAAAGCCACGUGUGCCAGUCUACAUGGACAGUGAGCAGCAGUGUGCCAUUCUUUUUCAACACCUCAAAGCUCUGCUGGAUAAUUCUAAAACUCAACUGAACUUCACAGAUGAAGUGGAGUUCAUUUGUAGUUUUCUUUUUCCUGAGGCCAUCAUUCAUGGCCUAUGUGAGAUGCAGGCAUUAUCCUGGCAGGAAGCUGAGGAGGUUUUCCUCCAUGGCCCUACUUAUCACCCAAGUGAAGUCGAGGAAUUUGACAGAGCGAUUGCAAAAAGAAUGAAAAAAGAAGGAACAUUCGCCUACCAGAAAGUAAUUAUUUUACCUU